rnacentral:rRNA from 1 species
GUACACACCGCCCGUCGCUACUACCGAUUGAAUGGUUUAGUGAGGCCUUCUGACUGGCGCCGAUACUCUGGCAACAGAGCGCCGGAUGCCGGAAAGUUGGUCAAACUUGAUCAUUUAGAGGAAGUAAAAGUCGUAACAAGGUUUCCGUAGGUGAACCUGCGGAAGGAUCAUUACCGAUGAUAUUCGUCCAACAACUACACAGUUGUACCUUGUGAACCGUACCAAACUAUUCAGGGGUCGGCUUGUCCGUUAAAUGGUCGUCGGACGCGAGAUAAUCGCGGCCGCUCGACCGGCCCCGCACGCGUUUUGUUUUUUAUAAACAUAUGUGUACCUGUCUGACCAAGCGUUGCGGCCGGCCCAAGGGUCGGUCGCGGCAAUUAGAGCAAAAAACGAGAUACAACUUUUGACGGUGGAUCUCUUGGCUCACGCAUGAAGAACGCAGCCAGCUGCGAUAAGUAGUGUGAAUUGCAGAUUCAGUGAAUCAUAGGAGCAUGCUGUCUGAUUUGUCGGAUAUCAUCCAACGCACGCCAGCGUGCGGAAUUGAGGCGUCACGGUCCGUACUGCACGGACCGUGUCCCUUGAAAGUCAGAGAGACUCGCCGCGUCGCGGGAAGAUUCCCCGUGCACACCAGCGGAGGCUAAAAUGUCUUUUGCCCUUCGCGUGCCGGGAAGUCGCCGCGUGCGGCGGUCGUCGUCGGGCGAACUUUAAUUAUCUUGACCUCAGAUCAGGCAAGGCUACCCGCUGAAUUUAAGCAUAUUAAUAAGCGGAGGAAAAGAAACUAACAAGGAUUCCCUCAGUAACGGCGAGUGAAGCGGGACCAGCUCAAAUUUGAAAUCUCCGAUGCCUGCAUCGGCGAGUUGUAGUUGCGAGAAGCACUUUCUAGGUGGAUCGGUCGUGCCUAAGUUGCUUGGAACAGCACGUCGCAGAGGGUGACAACCCCG